GUUUAGUUUCAGGAUUGUUUGCAAGAGCAUUUUGAUGAUGUUGGUCUCUCUGGUCCACAGAAAUUUCAUUUGAUGUUUUGCAUCUCCAUUGUACAUGUGGACUACAAAUCACCCAGAAGACACAAUGAGUGUUAAAGCUUUCAAGCUCGUUUCUGCUGUUGAGCGGGAGAUGUUAAUGGGAGACAAGAAUUACAUCAACAUCGAAUGCAUUGAGUGUUGCGGAAAGAACCUCUAUAUUGGAACCAAUGACUGCUUUAUCUAUCACUUUCUGUUGGAUGAAAAGAUAUCAACAGCUGGAAAAAUAACUUUUGUUGCCACCAAGCAACUGCAUAAAUACCUGGGCUUGAAAAAGCCUGUAAGUGAGUUGAAAGCAGCCUCUGCCCUCACCAGGCUUCUUGUGCUUUGCGACAACACAAUAACGCUAGUUAACAUGAUGAACUUGGAACCUGUCCCCACUGGUGCUAGAAUCAAAGGAGCUGUGACAUUCGCAUUAAAUGAAAACCCUGUGAGUGGGGACCCUUUCUGCGUUGAAGUCUGCAUUAUCUCAGUCAAGCGGCGGACCAUUCAAAUGUUCAUGGUGUUUGAAGACAGAGUCCAGAUAGUGAAGGAAGUGUUUACUCCAGAGCAACCCUGUGCUGUGGCUGUAGAUGGUUACUACUUAUGUCUUGCACUUACUACACAGUAUAUCAUUUUGAAUUAUAGUACUGGCAUCUCCCAGGAUCUAUUUCCUUAUUGCAGUGAUGAGAAACGGCCAAUUGUGAAAAGGAUAGGCAGACAAGAGUUUCUGUUGGCUGGCCCCGGAGGCCUAGGCAUGUUUGCAACUGUAGAUGGCAUUUCACAGCGUGCCCCUGUGCACUGGUCAGAGAAUGUGAUUGGAGCAGCUUUGUGCUUCCCUUACGUGGUUGCUCUCGAUGAUGAGUUCAUUACCGUGCACAGCAUGUUGGACCAGCAGCAAAAGCAAACCCUGCCUUUUAAAGAAGGUCACAUUCUACAGGAUUUUGAAGGAAAGGUGAUUGUUGCUACUAAUAAGGGAGUGUAUAUCUUGGUGCCACUACCUUUGGAAAAACAGAUUCAGGAUCUUCUAGCUAGCCACAGAGUGGAAGAAGCCCUUGUUCUGGCAAAAGGAGCUAGAAGGAAUAUUCCAAAAGAGAAAUUUCAGGUAAUGUACAAACGAAUCCUGCAGCAAGCAGGUUUUAUACAGUUUGCACAGCUUCAGUUCCUUGAAGCAAAAGAACUCUUCAGAAGCGGCCAGCUUGAUGUCCGGGAGCUGAUCUCUCUCUACCCCUUCCUGUUGCCUACUUCCUCUUCAUUUAUACGAUCUCAUCCCCCUCUGCAUGAGUACGCGGACCUAAACCAACUGACCCAAGGAGACCAGGAGAAGAUGACAAAAUGCAAACGAUUCCUUAUGAGUUACUUGAAUGAAGUCCGCAGCACUGAGGUUGCGAAUGGCUACAAGGAAGAUAUUGACACAGCUUUACUCAAGCUAUAUGCAGAGUCAAAUCAUGAAAGCCUUCUGGAUCUGCUAGUUUCAGAGAACUUUUGUCUUUUAACAGAUAGUGCUGCCUGGCUGGAGAAACACAAAAAGUAUUUUGCCCUUGGUCUCCUGUAUCACUACAAUGGUCAGGAUGCUACAGCACUUCAGUUAUGGGUGAAAAUAGUUGAUGGAGACAUUCAAGAUUCUACACGUUCAGAUCUCUAUGAAUAUAUAGUAGACUUCCUUACAUUCUGCUCAGACCAAGAUCUAGUGUGGAAAUACUCUGAAUGGGUUUUACAAAAAAAUGAAGAGGUUGGCGUACAGAUUUUCACUAAAAGGCCUUUCGAAGAACAGGAGAAAAACAACAUUAAUCAAGAUGAUAUCAUCAGUUGCCUUAACAAAUAUCCUAAAGCACGUGUUAAAUAUCUAGAACAUCUAGUAUUGGACAGAAAAAUAGAGAAAGAAAAGUACCAUACCCAUCUAGCUGUCUUGUACUUGGAGGCAGUACUUCAGCUAAAAUCCAUGACCACAGAUAAUUCUACAGAAACAACUGAACUGCUGUUUAAACUACGCAGUCUUCUUCAGAAAUCUGAUCUUUAUAGAAUUCACUUUAUUUUGGACAAAAUCCAAGGCACAGACCUUCAUAUGGAAAGUGCAAUUUUAUAUGGAAAACUAGAAGAACACGAGAAGGCUUUGCAUAUCCUUGUCCACAAGUUAAAGGACUUCCAUGCUGCUGAAGAAUACUGUAUAUGGAACUCUGAGAACAGAGAUGUGCAGUACAGACGAAGGCUUUUCCAUAUGCUGCUGUCAGUGUACCUAAAUCCAGGCACUUCGGAUUGUGCGCUAGUCAUGGCUGCUGUGGAUCUCCUGAAUAGCCAUGCUGCUGAAUUUGAUGCGGCUCUAGUUUUGCAGCUGGUGCCUGACAGCUGGUCAGUGCAGCUCCUCUCCCCAUUCCUGGCUGGAGCAGUGAGGCAAAGCGUUCAUACAAGAAGAAUGACUCAGGCUGCGCUUGGGUUAGCACAAGCUGAAAACUUAAUCUACAAAUACGAGAAGGUUAAACAAAAAGGAACCCCAAUUCUUCUUUCGGACAAAAAGGUCUGUCAGUUGUGCCAAAAUCCUUUCUCCGAGCCGGUAUUUGUCAGAUACCCAAAUGGGGGUAUUGUCCACACACACUGUGCUGCAAACAGACAUCUGAAUUCAAACGUGACUCAUCACUCUUCCAGCUCCAGCAAUCAGACUUGAAAUAUGUUCCGGUCCCACAGGUUCCCAUGACUUAUACCCCAUUGAAAGUGGGCUGGAAAAAAGAACAAAGUGCAGCUACUUUAGAACUCAUUUGGAUGAAUUAAUAUGGAAAUCCCACGGUAACAAAAAGACAAAGCAAAAACAACCAAUGUGAGGCUGAGGUAGAGCAAGAGCUCAGCAAGGAGGUGGCAGGUUGGAGGAUGCUCUUCCAGUCUCUGUGCAGCACUUGAGCAGUGGGGAUAAUACUCGACCAGAGGAGAUGACAGCCUACAUCACAGUGGUGCGUGAUAUUCUGUAUUUUAUCAGCAGGAAAUUUAUGAAAUUCCCUUAGGUAGGACAACUACAACUCCCCUUGGGUAAGAACUUCACAUCGGAGAACCUGACUUUGUUCCUUCUUUUAUUUUGGCACUGUCAGUCUGCUGGUUCUUGUUUUCUGCACCUGAAGUCCUGGGACAGCAUUGCUACUGUGGUGAGUUCUUCUGGUAUGGCUGUGGCAGCAAGGAGGGAAUGAGUGGUAAUCUGGUUAUUAAUUGCUCACUGGAUACAUGAAGGAGGAGAGGCAGGGAAGGGGAAUAUUUCUUUGAUCAUCCUUUUAGUUUGGAAAUUAAAUGGGCUCUGGGAGUUUAAGCUUGAUGCAAUCUUUUUCUCCCCAGUUAGGGAAUGUGGUGUCUUAGACCUGCCCUUGGAGAGAGGAGGUUCUGUCAGAAUAUUUCUUCAGUUAUUUGUGUUUGUAAUUCAUCUCUCUGACUGGUUGUUGGUUCGUUUGUUUGUUUGUUUUUUCCAGUGAGUCUCCUCCAACUUUGUAUGUGUGGAAACAAAAACAGUAGUGCAGCUUUUUGGGUUUUUUUAAAUGUGACAGUGUGUCUGUGAUUCAGCACAUAACAAGUGAGAUUAGUCUCUCACACAGAUGCUUUUGCAGAUAUUGAGGCACAUUUGCUUAACAUGUAGCUUCUAAUUACAGAAAUAUUGCAGCUCUGACUCUUCUUAAGCCAUCCUCUGUUACAGUCACUGAUACAUACAAAAAGCACUCAUUAAACCCUUUUCUACUUCUUUAUAUCUCCAUACUUCCUCACAUAAAAAUUAUGUGUAUACAUCAUCAUGUGCAGUUUUUCUCCUAAGUCAGAGAUGAAAAAUACUAAUGAGAAAAGAUUGCCCAGACUCUGUUACUCUGCUUGAAAUAAGAUGGACGGCUGUGUAUUUAUGAGAGAGAAUUUCCAUUAGGUGUUCAUUUCUAUGCUUUAAAGGGAUGUUAUCACAUUGAUAAUAUUACAAGAAUGCUGGUCUCAAAGUCUGGAGAAAAUAAGCAAUUGGCUUUUGUUGCACCACAGGUACCUAUGAACUGACUUCAUACUGUGGUGGCUCAGGCACGCACAGGAGUCCGGGUUACAAUGAGAACUUCUCUCUCUGUUCCCCUCACUCCCCAUCUCCAAAAACUUUCCAACCUUUGUUACCUGAUUUAAUGUCACUCUUCUAGCACUUAAUUGACAUAGGUGUAAAUCUUGAGAGUUUUGACUGGGCUCCUGAGCACAUCUGUCUUUGUUCAAUAAAAUGUCACUUUAUUACAUUGACCACAUGAAAGCCUAAUAUUGUGUUGUGGUUUAACCCCAGCCCAUAACCAAGCACCGUGCAGCUGCUCACUCACCCCUGCUCCCCGUCCCGCAAUGGGAUGGGGAGGAGAAUCGGUAAAAAAAGUUGUGGGUUGAGAUAAAGACAAUUUAAUAGGAUAGCAAAGGAAGAGAAUAAUAAUAUAUAUAAAACAAGUGAUGCAAAAAUGCAAUUCCUCACCACAUGCAGAAGGGAAACCAAACCAAUGCCCAGUUUGUUUCCGAGCAGCGAUCCCACUUCCCAGCAGCUUCCCCAGUUCUAUCUGGAGCAUGACAUCAUAUGGCAGGGAACAUCCCUGUGGCCAGCCUGGGCCAGCUGUCCUGGCUGUGCUCUCCCAGCUCCUUGUGCAGCUGGCAGGGUGUGAAAGGCCGAAAAGUCCUUGACUUGGUGUAGACACAACUACGGCAAUAACUAAAAACAUCAGUGUGUUACAAACAUUCUCAUCCUAAAUCCUAAACACAGCUACCAGAAAGAAAAUUAACUCUAUCCCUGCCAAAACCAGGACAUAAUGUCAGCUGUGGGAAGGUCAUGGUAGGGAUGGAGUGUCCAUGUUUUCCAAGACCCUUUUUACAUGUUUGAACAAACAAGCAUUAUCCUGACUCUGCUGAAUCUUUAUAACAAUGUCUGUUCUUUGCAGGACUCCUGUCCUGAAUGGCAUUAAAAAAUAUUUUGUUUUACACAGUUGUAUCAAGAAGUAACUUUUUGCUUUCAUUGUUCUUCCCAAUUUGCUGCAGUCUCUAUUCAGCAUAGCUGUAAGUGUUUUAUUAACGUUCUGCUGUUUAUAAUAGGCACCAACUAAUACAUUUUCAUUGUGAACUCUUCUAUUGCCUAUACUUACUAAUUAAUUUUUCUCUUGCUGUACAACACUUCGGGGCUUAUGCCUCGUGAACACUGAUAAUUAAAUGCGCUGCUACUUUUAAAGGGAAGAGAAGACAAGAAGUUAAUGACAUUCUGUAAUGUCCGAUUACAAAACUGAAGUUCCCCUGCGGUAAAUUUGGUCAGAUGGAAAUCUGUACUGUUAAUGCUUUCUGACUUAAUGGUUAUGUUGGUGAACAUACACAGCAGUAUGUGUAAUGUACAGAUGUACAAAUAUGUUGAUUUUUAAU